rnacentral:rRNA from 1 species
AUUGAACGCUGGCGGCAGGCCUAACACAUGCAAGUCGAGCGGAUGAAGGGAGCUUGCUCCUGGAUUCAGCGGCGGACGGGUGAGUAAUGCCUAGGAAUCUGCCUGGUAGUGGGGGAUAACGUCCGGAAACGGGCGCUAAUACCGCAUACGUCCUGAGGGAGAAAGUGGGGGAUCUUCGGACCUCACGCUAUCAGAUGAGCCUAGGUCGGAUUAGCUAGUUGGUGGGGUAAAGGCCUACCAAGGCGACGAUCCGUAACUGGUCUGAGAGGAUGAUCAGUCACACUGGAACUGAGACACGGUCCAGACUCCUACGGGAGGCAGCAGUGGGGAAUAUUGGACAAAGGGCGAAAGCCUGAUCCAGCCAUGCCGCGUGUGUGAAGAAGGUCUUCGGAUUGUAAAGCACUUUAAGGUGGGAGGAAGGGCAGUAAGUUAAUACCUUGCUGUUUUGACGUUACCAACAGAAUAAGCACCGGCUAACUUCGUG